UACUCCCUGUGAGCUGCAGCUGCUGCCCAUUAAGAAGCACUACCCUGCUCUGAAGCUUCCCGUCUUUUGGAACCAAACGGUUAAGAAUGGAAGAAUUUCCCCAUGGGCACAUAUUGUAGUUGCAUUUCUCCGGUGGCCACCAGUCCAAAGUCGCACAGAUAAAGUUAUAAUCAGUCUUGGCUAUAGUUGUCACCGACUGGAUGGAGACUGUCACUUUCUUCUGCAGGCCAUGAGGAAUGUUUGAGAUGAUGAGAAGAAUGUAGAACAGAAGAGUGUAUCUGCAACUCAUCUCCCUCAUUCUCUUCACUAUAUCAAGUCAAAAAUCUAAAUUCCAGAAUGAAAGGGAAUACAAAGGUUCCUUAAAUAUAGUGUUUAGCUGCGCUUGUUUUUCAGUUUUCUUUAGGGAUAAGAUCAAAAAACACAAGUUCCAAAAAUUGGUCUAACUGAUUACUGAUUCUGGUCGGAGAAUAGGAGUAAUGUUGAACUAGGCGGUGUUCAUCUCUAUCGAAUAGAGCUGCUGAACUAAAAAUUUAAAUAUAUCUAAUGACAUAGUUCAUUGGUGCA